CUCUGCAACAUCUGAAGGUCCACAGUCUUGGGACCACUCCAAUAUCUAUUGCCUGAAACAUUUGCUCAGCAUACAGCUACCUCUCCCGAUCCCUUCAUACACAUGAACGUUUGUUCAACUUGGCUAAGCAUUUAUGUGUUCUGAAUGGAGAGAGGAGGGGUAAGCCACUGCCAGACCCCUCUGGUGACCUCUCUCUCAGAGAACAAAAAAAAUGGUAGUUAAAAUCCAAGAUGCCGACCCUUCUGUCUUGUUUAACCGGGUCUCCCAACUUUUCCCCGACAUGUCUUAAACAAGACAGCUGGUACCGCAUGUACGGGGUCCUGAAACCACUUAUGUCUACCAGAUAUCCAUUUUCCAUUUGCAAGACUAUUCAGCAGUAGACCUUAGGCAAACGUGGCAACCUUCACUACAUGAAUGGAAGUCCAUCAAAUAUACAGUACACAAGAAAGCGUGAAGAGUGAGUAAAGAUUGAAGAGAGAGGACUAAUAAACAGAUCUACUCAAAAGGAGAAAUAUGAAAAUGUGCAGUCAAUGAGUCUUCAAUGCCGAAACUUCAAACCUAAGAAAGAAACAGUUAUAUCUCCUAAGAAAAAGUGACAGAUUUAUCCGGUAUUCCUGGAUGCAUACAGACCUAGGCAGCUGCUGUACAACA